GGUGGAGCCAAGAUGGCCGAAUAGGAACAGCUCGGGUCUACAGCUCCCAGCGUGAGCCACGCUGAAGACGGAAGAUGCAGAUGCCUCCAGCUAUUACGAGUCCCACUGCAACAAGGAUCAGAGGCAGAGCCGCUUUCCAUGCCAUGAACUGGGAGCUUCUAGAGAAGGUAGCUGGAGAAAGAUUCCCAGAAGCCAGGAAUAUUGGGAACCAUGGGACACCAUGCCAAGAGUGAGCCCUCAUGAAAACUGUGCACUCUGGGUGCUGACGGCAUUGUCAACGGAGGUUCAUCAAACAUGGUGGACGUUCCUUCUGGUGUAGGGUUUUUAUGCUGGGGGAAGAUGUGUGAGGGGGUUAGGGGAAGAUGGGAACUCUCUGUACUUUCUACUAAAAUUUGUUGUGACCCUAAAACUGCUUUAAAAAAUAAAGCCUAUUUUACAAACCCU